rnacentral:tRNA from 1 species
UGGCUCAGCUGGUAGAGUGUGGCUUUUGCAACGCCAGGGUUGUGGGUUCGAUUCCCAU